rnacentral:piRNA from 1 species
AAAGACAUCAUGCUGAAUAG